ACUCAAAUGAAUUGACGGGGGCCCGCACAAGCGGCGGAGCAUGCGGAUUAAUUCGAUGCAACGCGAAGAACCUUACCUGGGUUUGACAUACAGGAUUUAUCCCCAGAGAUGGGGGGUCCGUAAGGGUUCUGUACAGGUGGUGCAUGGCUGUCGUCAGCUCGUGUCGUGAGAUGUUGGGUUAAGUCCCGCAACGAGCGCAACCCUCGUUCCAUGUUGCCAGCAACUCUCCCUUGUGGAGGGGUUGGGGACUCAUGGGAGACUGCCGGGGUCAACUCGGAGGAAGGUGGGGAUGACGUCAAGUCAUCAUGCCCCUUAUGUCCAGGGCUUCACGCAUGCUACAAUGGCCGGUACAAAGGGUUGCGAUGCCGUGAGGUGGAGCGAAUCCCAAAAAGCCGGUCUCAGUUCGGAUUGGGGUCUGCAACUCGACCCCAUGAAGUCGGAGUCGCUAGUAAUCGCAGAUCAGCAACGCUGCGGUGAAUACGUUCCCGGGCCUUGUACACACCGCCCGU
rnacentral:rRNA from 1 species